UACGGAGGAUGCAAGCGUUAUCCGGAAUGAUUGGGCGUAAAGGGUCCGCAGGUGGUUAUCCAAGUCUGCUGUUAAAGCGCGAGGCUUAACUUCGUACAGGCAGUGGAAACUGGGUGACUGGAGUAUGGUAGGGGUAGCGGGAAUUCCCAGUGUAGCGGUGAAAUGCGUAGAUAUUGGGAAGAACACCAGCGGCGAAAGCGCGCUACUGGGCCAUUACUGACACUCAUGGACGAAAGCUAGGGGAGCGAAAGGG
rnacentral:rRNA from 1 species